UACGAAAGGUGCAAGCGUUACUCGGAAUCACUGGGCGUAAAGCGCACGUAGGCGGACUCGUAGGUCAGUUGUGAAAUACCUGGGCUCAACCCGGGGACUGCAGCUGAAACCGCUUGUCUUGAAUACCUGAGAGGGUGGGGGAAUACCUGGUGGAGAAGUGAAAUUCGUAGAGAUCAGGUGGAACACCGGAGGCGAAGGCGCCUGCCUGGCAGUGUAUUGACGCUGAGGUGCGAAAGUGCGGGGAGCAAACAGG
rnacentral:rRNA from 1 species